UUAAAAUUAGUUAAAACAUAACACGAGCUUGUCAAGCUCGAAUUAUUACAAAGUAAUAUUUUAAA
rnacentral:tRNA from 1 species